AGCAGUCGCCGCGGUAAUACGAAGGGUGCAAGCGUUAAUCGGAAUUACUGGGCGUAAAGCGUGCGUAGGCGGUUUGUUAAGUCUGCUGUGAAAUCCCCGGGCUCAACCUGGGAAUGGCAGUGGAUACUGGCAAGCUAGAGUGUGUCAGAGGAUGGUGGAAUUCCCGGUGUAGCGGUGAAAUGCGUAGAGAUCGGGAGGAACAUCAGUGGCGAAGGCGGCCAUCUGGGACAACACUGACGCUGAGGCACGAAAGCGUGGGGAGCAAACAGGAUUAGAUACCCCCGUAGUCCCUGUCUCUUAUAC
rnacentral:rRNA from 1 species